rnacentral:rRNA from 1 species
UACGUAGGGUGCGAGCGUUGUCCGGAAUUACUGGGCGUAAAGAGCUUGUAGGUGGUUUGUCGCGUUGUUCGUGAAAUCUCACGGCUCAACUGUGAGCGUGCGGGCGAUACGGGCAGACUAGAGUACUGCAGGGGGAGACUGGAAUUCCUGGUGUAGCGGUGGAAUGCGCAGAUAUCAGGAGGAACACCGGUGGCGAAGGCGGGUCUCUGGGCAGUAACUGACGCUGAGAAGCGAAAGCGUGGGGAGCGAACAGG